rnacentral:tRNA from 1 species
GCGGCUGUGGCUGAAUGGUUACGGCGUUCGCUUUGUAAGCGAAUGGUUCUAUGUUUGAUUCCCAUCUGCU